GAUGAACGCUGGCGGCGUGCCUAAUACAUGCAAGUCGAGCGAACGGACGAUGAGCUUGUUUUUCUGAUGUUAGCGGCGGCCGGGUGAGUAACACGUGGAUAACCUACCUAUAAGACUGGGAUAACUUCGGGAAACCGGAGCUAAUACCGGAUAAUAUUUUGAACCGCAUGGUUCAAAAGUGAAAGACGGUAUUGCUGUCACUUAUAGAUGGAUCUGCGCUGCAUUAGCUAGUUGGUAAGGUAACGGCUUACCAAGGCAACGAUGCAUAGACGACCUGAGAGGGGGGUAGGCCACACUGGAACUGAACCACGGUCCAGACUACUACGAGAGGCAGCAGUAGGGAAUCUUCCGCAAUGGGCGAAAGCCUGACGGAGCAACGCCACGUGAGGGAUGGAGGUCUUCGGAUCGUAAAACUCUGUUAUUAGUGAAGAACAUAUGUGUAAGUAACUGUGCACAGCUUGACGGUACCUAAUCAGAAAGCCACGGCUAACUACGUG
rnacentral:rRNA from 1 species